UACGGAGGGAGCUAGCGUUGUUCGGAAUUACUGGGCGUAAAGCGCGCGUAGGCGGCUUUGUAAGUUAGAGGUGAAAGCCCGGGGCUCAACUCCGGAACUGCCUUUAAGACUGCAUCGCUUGAAUCCGGGAGAGGUGAGUGGAACUGCGAGUGUAGAGGUGAAAUUCGUAGAUAUUCGCAAGAACACCAGUGGCGAAGGCGGCUCACUGGCCCGGUACUGACGCUGAGGUGCGAAAGCGUGGGGAGCAAACAGG
rnacentral:rRNA from 1 species